rnacentral:tRNA from 1 species
GGAGGGUUGGGUGAGUCCGGUUAAACCAGCACAUUGCUAACGUGCCACAGCCUCGUCGAAUCGGGGCCACACAGGUUCAAAUCCUGUACCCUCCGCCA